GAUGUGUCUCCUGGCCCCGGAGCCCUCCCGCCCCACCCGCGCUGGGGUCUCCAGCGCGAAGGGCUCAGUCUCUGGUGUCCCCGGCCUGGGGCUGGCAAGCUGGGUUAGGAGCUAUGACCUUGGGGCAAAUAGGGAUACGAUCCUAGAGGCGCAGGGGAGCGCGCAGCACUGAGUGUUGAGAGCCACGCGCCCUCUGCUGCACGGCCGUGGAAUAAAACGAGACAGCGGCGCCACAGUCCCCUGUCCGCAGCCCACGCUCGGGCGAACCUGGAAGAUUGCAUUUCCUCGUAGGCUGGCAGAGCCUUACAUGAAGUGCUUAUCUUCUCCUACUUUCCUCCUCUUUAAAAAAUUAACGUGGGUGAGGAGACGUCCUAGUUGAGUACAUACUGAUUUGAAAUAACCAAAACUUUUAACAAAUCAUUUUCUCAGAAGAAUCUAGUAAGAGAAAGAUAAUUUCUUCCAAAGACAUGAGAAGUUCCCUGGCUGGCCAAGAAAACUUGGCAUCUGGCAUACCUAGGAAUCAUUCAAAAUAGUUUAAUAGGAAGGACAUUUUGAGGCCAGCCAGCAUUAUGACAUUUGUGGGUCCUACGGCAUUUCACCUUGGAAACAUUUUCCUGGGCAUCUAAAUCUAUUGUGGACCUGAGGCACUGUGCUUACAGGGCCUACUGGUUUUCACUGUAUGAGACCGAGAAUGGAUUAUGGCAGUUCCUCUUACCUCUGCUGCGUACUUGACUCCAUCCACGGUGUGCUCAGAGCCAUGAUCAUCCGAAGAGCCCCAGUGAAGAUGAAACUGGCGAAGUCGAGCUCUACUUUAAUCAAGUGCUCUUAGAGCCAAGGCUUAAUGGACAAAAUGUGGUCAGUUUGCUGGUGGAUGGUGCCACUCCCAGGACACUGGACUCCUCACAAAAUGAAGUCUGGGGAUAUGUCAAGAUAAAUGAUUGUUCUUUUCUGUC